rnacentral:rRNA from 1 species
CAGCCGCCGCGGUAAUACAGAGGGUGCGAGCGUUAAUCGGAUUUACUGGGCGUAAAGCGUGCGUAGGCGGCUUUUUAAGUCGGAUGUGAAAUCCCUGAGCUUAACUUAGGAAUUGCAUUCGAUACUGGGAAGCUAGAGUAUGGUAGAGGAUGGUAGAAUUCCAGGUGUAGCGGUGAAAUGCGUAGAGAUCUGGAGGAAUACCGAUGGCGAAGGCAGCCAUCUGGCCUAAUACUGACGCUGAGGUACGAAAGCAUGGGGAGCAAACAGGAUUAGAUACCCCUGUAGUCCCUGUCUCUUAUAC